UGCAAACCUAAAGUCGCCUUAGGUUUGUCUAUAUUUAGACGACUGCGGCUCUCUCAAGAAUACACAGUAUCAAGCGGAGAGGUCACACUUCAUCUAUUAUGUCCUCUCUCAUAUCAUCUUUCAGAAAAAAAAAAUUAGUCUUACACAAGGUUUGCGUACUCUCUAUCCCUGCAAGACACGACUGCCAGUGAUAUACUUGAGGAAGGUGGGGAUGACGUCAAGCCCGCAUGGCCCUUAUGGGCUGGGCCACAUAUGUGCUACAAUGGCAAUUACAAUGGAAAGCAAGGCUGUAAGGCGGAGCGAAUCCGGAAAGAUUGCCUCAGUUCGGAUUGUUCUCUGCAACUCGGGAACAUGAAGUUGGAAUCGCCCGUAAUCGCGGAUCAGCAUGUUGCUGUGAAUAUGUACCCGGGCCUUGUACACACCGCCCGUCACACCCUGGGAAUUGGUUUCGCCCGAAGCAUCGGACCAAUGAUCACCCAUUGGCUUCUGUAAGUCCUUUCGUGGUCUUAUUGGCGCAUACCUCGGUGGGGUCUUCGACUAGUAGAGAUUUCACGGAAUAUAUUGUUGUCAUGGUAGAAUUAGAGUUUUUUUUUUUAUCCCCAUUUACUUGUAUCGACUGCUGUGAGCCUGUGACUUCCAAUAAUUAUCCUAAUUGUUUAGAGUCCUAAAUCUUACACUUUUGGGUACAACAAUUUUUUAUCAUCUAAGUUUAUGAGUCGAAAAUAAGCCACACAUUUGGAGGUCA